rnacentral:rRNA from 1 species
GAUCCUGGCUCAGGAUGAACGCUAGCUACAGGCUUAACACAUGCAAGUCGAGGGGCAGCAUGAACUUAGCUUGCUAAGUUUGAUGGCGACCGGCGCACGGGUGAGUAACACGUAUCCAACCUUCCGUUUACUCAGGGAUAGCCUUUCGAAAGAAAGAUUAAUACCUGAUAGUAUGGUGAGAUUGCAUGANAACACUAUUAAAGUAUUUUAGUUAGGUAAACGAGUGGGGAUGUCCGUUCCUAGUUAGGUAGG